GAUGAACGCUGGCGGCGUGCCUAAUCCAUGCAAGUCGAGCGAACAGACGAGGAGCUUGCUCCUCUGACGUUAGCGGCGGACGGGUGAGUAACACGUGGAUAACCUACCUAUAAGACUGGGAUAACUUCGGGAAACCGGAGCUAAUACCGGAUAAUAUAUUGAACCGCAUGGUUCAAUAGUGAAAGACGGUUUUGCUGUCACUUAUAGAUGGAUCCGCGCCGCAUUAGCUAGUUGGUAAGGUAACGGCUUACCAAGGCGACGAUGCGUAGCCGACCUGAGAGGGUGAUCGGCCACACUGGAACUGAGACACGGUCCAGACUCCUACGGGAGGCAGCAGUAGGGAAUCUUCCGCAAUGGGCGAAAGCCUGACGGAGCAACGCCGCGUGAGUGAUGAAGGUCUUCGGAUCGUAAAACUCUGUUAUUAGGGAAGAACAAAUGUGUAAGUAACUAUGCACGUCUUGACGGUACCUAAUCAGAAAGCCACGGCUAACUACGU
rnacentral:rRNA from 1 species